GCUCUCGUGGCCCAGUUGGUUAGUGCGUCGUACUUAUAAGCAGUACUUCAGUAUAAGCGUAGGUCGAGGGUUCGAUCCCCCCCCCCCCGAGAGCA
rnacentral:tRNA from 1 species